AGAGUUUGAUCAUGGUUCAGGACGAACGCUGGCGGCGUGCCUAAUACAUGCAAGUCGAGCGGAGACAGUGAGUAGCUUGCUAUGAGCUGUUUUAGCGGCGGACGGGUGAGUAACGCGUGAGCAACCUUUCCCAGACAGGGGAAUAACACACCGAAAGGUGUACUAAUACCGCAUAAGACCACGGGAUCACAUGGUUCUGGGGUAAAAGAUUUAUCGGUUUGGGGUGGGCUCGCGUCCGAUUAGGUAGUUGGUGAGGUAACGG
rnacentral:rRNA from 1 species